UCGGACGUGGUGCACGGUGCACAUCCGCUCAUUGUAAGCAUGUUACUGCCCAAGUAAUAUGUGGGAACCCUGGGUCCGACUCCCAGCGUCCGAA